rnacentral:rRNA from 1 species
GACGAACGCUGGCGGCGUGCUUAACACAUGCAAGUCGAACGGAAAUGCCCUGCUUUUGUGGGGUGCGCGAGUGGCGACGGGGUGAGUAACACGUGAGUACCCUGUCCUUGAGUGUGGGAUAUCUUCAGGAAAAUGGGGCUAAUACCGGGUAGGAUCUCUUGCUUCAUGGUGGGGGUGGGAAAGUUUCGGCGGUUGGGGAUGGACUCGCGGCUUAUCAGCUUGUUUGUGGGGUAGGGGCUUACCAAGGCUUAGACGGGUAGCGGGCCUGAGAGGGUGACAGGCCACACUGGGACUGAGAUACGACCCAGACUCAUACGGGAGGCAGGGGUGGAGUAUAGUGCCCAAUGGGCUGAGGGAUGGUGUAACAACGCCGCGUCGGGUAUGUCGGCCUUCUGGUUGGAAACCGCUUUCGUCUGUCACGAAGCGUGAGUGACGGUAAUGGGUAAAGAAGCCCCGGCUAACUACGUG